AAAAAACUAAUAUUUGGCCAGUGUUUGUGACUAAGUGGCUACUAAGAAAGACUGGACAUACCCCACUUGCAAUACCUUGGGUUGUCUACUUUUGCAAAUGGUAUGCCAUCAUGGGGUAAUUCUCAUUCCUGGGCUACCACAUGCUCUCAAAGGCAACACAACCAAUCUGGCAAAUUUCAAUGUCAAAAAAAUGAAAUGCAAGCCUAAUAUGUGACUCUCUAACUUUCCAAAACACCAUAAAA